AUUGAACGCUGGCGGCAGGCCUAACACAUGCAAGUCGAACGAGUGGCGGACGGGUGAGUAAUGUCUGGGCAACUGCCCGAUGGAGGGGGCUAACUACUGGAAACGGUAGCUAAUACCGCAUACCAUCGUAUCUGCCCAGGGUGGAUGAGCUAGUAGGUGGGGUAACGGCUCACCUAGGCGACGAUCCGUAGCUGGUUUGAGAGGACGACCAGCCACACUGGGACUGAGACACGGCCCAGACUCCUACGGGAGGCAGCAGUGGGGAAUUUUGGACAAUGGGGGAAACCCUGACCCAGCCAUCCCGCGUGAGUGAUGAAGGCCUUCGGGUGGUAAAGCACUGUUGGCAGGAAAGCGGUACCUGCAGAAUAAGCACCGGCUAACUACGUGCCAGCAGCCGCGGUAAUUC
rnacentral:rRNA from 1 species